CGACUUGCCUUUUUCUCAACCUCUUCUGUUGUUCUUCUCCCUUUGAUCCGUUCUAUUACCUUGUCUUUCUUGUUUUCACAUCUUUUCGCUACACCCCCUUUCUUGGUUUCCGGCUGUUUCCUCCCUACCCUGAGACGCCUCUUAGAGCUUUAUCAUCCCACGCUAGGAUCGCAGAUAAGACCACUGAGCCUCAAAGAAGUUAAAUAACUGGCCAAAUCAGUUGGCGGUGCUGAAAUCCAAACCUAGAAGGACCAGCUCCACGGUCUACCUUCAACUACUGCUUUUGCGUGUGAAAAAAAUGUGAGGCAAGAUAAAGCUACGCAAUAAGAGGUCUCAGAAGAAAAAAUACAUCAGCCAAGGUUUUUAAAGUAUCAGUAAAAGAAUUCAUUCAGAGAAAAACUUUUUCAUAUAGAACCAUAAAAUAUAAAAUCAGAAGGAAACUACAA